AAACUUUUAACAACGGAUCUCUGGGUUCUG
rnacentral:rRNA from 1 species